CCAGGAUUCGGGAACGGGCUGGGAGCCCAGCCAGGCUCUGCUGUUCCAAUGGACCAAGGACCAGGCAUUAGCGAAGGCAUGAAGCCUCAGAAGCCAGGCCUAGGAGGGGGUGUGAGCCCUCCAAAGCCAGGAUACAUGCCAGGGAAUGGGCUCCCACCAG